GGAGCGUUCGCUCCCUGGGAGCCGCAGCGUUCUGCCUCCCCCCAUCCCCACCGCCGUGGGUCCAAAGAAGUAGCCCCUGUUCCCAGAGACACCCUCGGGAGUUCUGACGGGACGAGCACGGCUCACGCCUCACAGGCGCCGUUUUUCUUUCAGAGAAUACGACGGGAACUCUGAUCUCCACGUCGGAAUAUCCAGCACUCAGGGAGUGGUGUAUAAUUACAAUGAAGAGGGCAUUCACAGAGAUGGAACCGGAUGGGAGCAGUGCAUUAGUGUCCCACUAGUACAGCCAGAUAUGUUUGAGCUUCUUCAGCAGUGGGAUCACCUCCUAGAGGAAUUUUCUAUGAGAGAGGAGUGGCUUCCUCACAGGUAUGUAGCUGAAAUGGUGAAUGCA
rnacentral:lncRNA from 1 species